CCUACGGGUGGCAGCAGUGAGGAAUCUUGGUCAAUGGACGAGAGUCUGAACCAGCCAAGUCGCGUGAAGGAUGACUGCCCUAUGGAUUGUAAACUUCUUUUAUAUGGGAGUAAAAUAUGGAAUGCGUACCAUCUUGUAUGUACCAUAUGAAUAAGGAUCGGCCAACUACGUGCCAGCAGCCGCGGUAAUAGGGAGGCACCAAGCGUUGUCCGGAGUUAUUGGGUGUAAAGGGCGCGUAGGUUGAUUGGUAAGUCAGUUGUGAAAGUUUGCGGCUCAACCGUAAAAUUGCAGUUGAAACUGGCAGUCUUGAGUAUCGUAGAGGUGGGCGGAAUUCGUGGUGUAGCGGUGAAAUGCGUAGAUAGCACGAAGAACUCCGAUGGCGAAGGCAGCUCACUGGACGGCAACUGACACUGAGGCGCGAAAGUGUGGGUAUCAAACAGGAUUAGAUACCCGAGUAGUC
rnacentral:rRNA from 1 species